AUUAAUUGCUUUUUGAGGGAAAACACUUAUGAUAACGACAACUUCAUUAUGCCAAGUGGAACCUCUCCAGUUUUGAGACCUCCUAAGUAUCUUUGGGCAUCACCUUCUGAACAAAUUGGUCUAAAGGGGGAAACAAAGUUUCGCUUGGGGAACAGGAACUCACGAUCCCUAACCUGACGGCGGAUGAUGCCGGACUGUACGAAUGUUAUGAUAUAAACACCCAGGGACCCCGAGCCGCCAGAAAUUUUGUUAUCAGAGUGGAAUCCAAGCCAAAUUGGGAAGAUGAGCCAAAAGAUGUGGAGACUAGUCCUGGGGCAUCUGUGACAUUCAUCUGCAAGGCAAAUGGUAUCCCACACCCAAAAGUGACAUGGUUCAUUAAUGAAAUCAGGCUGGAGGAUAUUAUACCUUAUAC